CACAAGAUGUUCCUGUGGUUCAGGUCCAGGCUGGAGGCUGCAGGAAUGGGGAGGACAGAGGUGGGAAGUGGCACAGAGCACCCUGAGCCCUCCCACACAGCUGAGGGAUGGAGCAGCAGUGGGUGGGUGCCAGGAUGACACAUGCCAGGCUCAGAAAUGCCAUCUGCCUGCUCCUUCCCACUGCCAGGGAUCCAUCCUGCCGAGCUGCUCUGGGAUAAUCCCACUGCACAUCACCUCAAACACUCCUGCUCCCUCCCACUGCCAGGAUAAUCCCACUGCACAUCACCCCACACAGCCCUGCUGCACAUCACCUCAAACAUCCCUGUCCCUCCCACUGUUCUGGGAUAAUCCCAGUGCACAUCACCCCACACACUCCUGCUCCCUCCCACUGCCAGGAUAAUCCCACUGCACAUCACCCCACACAGCCCUGCUGCACAUCACCUCAAACAUCCCUGUCCCUCCCACUGUUCUGGGAUAAUCCCAGUGCACAUCACCCCACACAUCCCCACCUUGGGAGAGCCACUUUGGGGCUGCUGCUCAAGAGACACAAGCUCGCUGUCCCCCCCCUGGAAAUGACUGCUUGACUGCCUUCAUGUUGUGGUUAUUUUCCAAACUGUGCCUCUGAUGCUGCUUUUCCAAAGUGGUCAGUUCCAAACUGUUCCCAGAAUCAAUGCUGAGCAAGGCUGAAUCUAUUCCUAGACAUGAUUUCAUUCAUGAGGUCCAUGGGCACAAGAACCUUAAAAAGGCUAAAGAAGGAAACUGGAGCAGAUGAGACCAUUUCAAGACAUCAAAAAUGGGUCACAUAUGCUGCCUUCACUGACAGCCAAG
rnacentral:lncRNA from 12 species